CCCAUCAAGUGGUCUUUUAUGUGGAGCGAUAACGAAGGCCAAUUAAUACAGCAAUUGGGAGCAACCUCUGAUGCCCUCGUAAUUUCUCUGCCUUAUAAUUAUCGAACGUUUGGGGUUUUUCAUGCUCCCAAGGAAAUCACAGUCAGAGCCAGAGACAACCAGAAAGCGGACACUGCAGCCAGAGGCCAAGGGAGCAAUGUGUGGCCCCACAGAAACCCCCGGGGUGGGAGCGGGGCGGAAAGGAGGGUCUGGGAUGGAAAAUGAGUCUCCUCCCUGGGUGGCAGCUGGACCAGUGUCACAGGACACCAGAGGCUGGUGCUGCUGGAAGCAUCUGUCUGGGCGCCAGUGCCGACGCACCCCUCUGUGGAGCAGCCUCUUGGCAUGCUGCUCGCCCAGCCCGGCUCACCCUGGGACCGGAAGCUGGCCCUGUGCUUCCUCUGCAGGAAUCGGCAUCGGCUGGGGCCAGUCCUCUGCUGCUUCUCCUCCAACUCCUGAGGGCCCCAGAGGAUGCCUGACCUGUCUCGGGGCCUCUGCUCCCUCCAGGAAGCAGCCUCUUGGCUCUCUGAUCUUCGUACAAGGUCAAACGCUCAAUGAUGCUCAGGUAAGUGGCAUUAAGGAGAGACAGGUCUGUUCCCCCGUAGAGGUCAGCUUCCUGCUGCUGGGGCCCUCCCCGGCUGCUCUGCAGGCUGCUGUGGUGUCUGUUCCAGCUGGAUGCAUCUGCCCUGGGCUCACCAACCCAUUUUGGAAACUUCCCCAGAACGUCCUCUUCCUCCUCCUUCAUCGGUUACGUAGCCUCCAUUUACAGAGCCCCUGCUGGGACGGAACUCACAUGACCUUGCAGGAUCCUUGCAGCGUAAGUUUGUGAUAUUGACUUUAAGGAGGAGAGAACAGAAUGGAAGGUAUGUGACUUCCCCAUGGUCACGUCGAUCUUAAUUGGCACCAACAGGAAUCAGACAUCUCUAUCCAACUUCAAAGCUACAGCCUUAACCACUGGGCCACACUG
rnacentral:lncRNA from 1 species